AAUGAAUUAAAAGUUUCCUAAAGAUACUGAGGACCAGCUUUGAAAAUUUUUUAUAAUUUUCUUGCACAGAAAUGACUCUUUUUUUUUUUUCCCCCCCAGCUGCUCCAGAGGUGUGAAAGAAAAACAAAGAGGACCAGCUUUCAGGGAAUGAUCACGUAACGGGGUAGUGACUAGAGAUUCAACCUUCUCAAUGACUUGAUGACUACUUGACAGAAGAGUGGAUGGGCCGUGAGUAAAACUGAGUCCUUCCAAUAGCACCAUUUGAUUAAAUCAUCUAACUGGUGUCAUCAUGACAGAAGGCAGAAUGGAAGAUGGAUUGACAAGACAGAGAAAUUUCCACAUUUCAUAUCGGGUCAAUCCACUUCUACAAACUUAGAGAGAAAUAAUCAGGGAUCUAUGCACAAAGUUCUUUGGCAUCCACUGGAAACCCUACUAUACACAGUGACUGACAGAUGGGCUGCGUGUCACUCCAUGGAUCCAAUUUGAAGAUUUCAUGGUAACAAGUGGAAUGAAUGUGCCACCCUGGGCCUGGGCACUGUGAUGUGUUCUUCUGAUCUCCCUUCAGGACCGAAGGCCUAAUUUCCCCAGCUGCCAGCAGACACCUCUCAACAUGAAGCCUUCUUCAAGGAUUGCCUUGGUGGAAGAGGCUCCUUGCCCAAUACCACUCUCCCUUCCUAAGUGCAGUCUGCAAACCAUGACUGGUCAGUGCAGGGCUAUAAGACCCCUCCUCUCACCCCAACUAGGGACAAAUCCAGCCUGAGAACUCCUUGUGGGUCAGUGUCGGGAGUCACCAGCCCUGCAUCACCGUCCUGUGCAAUCCUGCUCUCUUCCCUUCGUUUCCGUGUGUAUCGAUCCUGAGACUCCUCCCCAGGAGGCCUCCUGCAUGCUCAUCUUGUCCUCGGAGACUGUUCCCCGGGAACUCCCUUGCCACAGGGUCCCGUCCUGGC